AUUGUUUACGUAUCUACAUAAAUUCAAUUACCUUUUGAACUAGAAAGUGUUAUAUUUUCAAAUAACCAUUUACCUCUGUUCAGUGUCGGUCAAAUUCGAUGUUUUGAAUCACUCUAGCGCGUGCUAAAUACUAAAUGACGCAAUGUUUUGGACUGGUCUUCAUUUUCUUCGAUACAGGCACAACCGAGCGUAAAUAUUAAGCGAGAAAGUCUAGUGGAACGAUGCAGGGUUCAUUGGGUUUGUUUACAAAAAUUCAAGCAUCCGGUUAAGAAGACGACAAAUAAGAAUGGUAUUAAGUUGGUAGAAUGGAACUCCUUCCUGAUUCCUGCACAUGUAAGUUACCAGAUACUUUUGAGGGACCAAUUUAAGGGCAAACAGACAAACGUUUUGAUGCAAAGAAAGCAUUGGAUUUGAAAGUUCCCAUGGAGAAGAAAAAUGGAGAGAUUCUAAAAGUAUGAAGAUACUCCUGUGUAUAAUGAGGAAAUCUUGUCAGUGAAUGUUGUUGCAAUUGUGGACCAGGCCAGAGUUGUACUAAACCAACUAAGACACAAUGAGAUACAGGAAUGACACAAUGAGAAACAGGAAACAGGAAAGUGAUGAAUGAUCGCCACCUGUUACAAAUUCAUCUAGAAAACUCCCCACAUCCAACAAGAGACAGUCUGACUUCAAAAUCUUCAUUGAAGGCAACUUAAUGGACAAGACAUCCAUCACAUAAAGAUUCACUAAAAUUGGAAUGAUAUACCAAUUUUAACUUUUAACAGACAAAUACAUUAUAGAUUUGAAAAUAGAUUACCCUUAAAUAAGUUGGAUGAUUAACAUUUACCUCAACACAGU